CCUACGGGUGGCAGCAGUGAGGAAUAUUGGUCAAUGGGCGCGAGCCUGAACCAGCCAAGUCGCGUGAGGGAUGACGGCCCUACGGGUUGUAAACCUCUUUUGCCGGGGAGCAACGGGCGCCACGUGUGGCGCCACUGAGAGUACCCGGAGAAAAAGCAUCGGCUAACUCCGUGCCAGCAGCCGCGGUAAUACGGAGGAUGCGAGCGUUAUCCGGAUUUAUUGGGUUUAAAGGGUGCGCAGGCGGAAGAUCAAGUCAGCGGUAAAAUUGAGAGGCUCAACCUCUUCGAGCCGUUGAAACUGGUUUUCUUGAGUGAGUGAGAAGUAUGCGGAAUGCGUGGUGUAGCGGUGAAAUGCAUAGAUAUCACGCAGAACUCCGAUUGCGAAGGCAGCAUACCGGCGCUCAACUGACGCUCAUGCACGAAAGUGUGGGUAUCGAACAGGAUUAGAUACCCGAGUAGUC
rnacentral:rRNA from 1 species